GUGGAUUUACUAAAUGUAUCUAUCAAUAUCUACUACUAAUUCAAUUAUUAGGGGACAAAUUUUUUUUUAUUUAGUAAAUAAUAUUUUUAUUACAUGCCAUUUAGAAACUGCAAGAACAAUUCGGAUUAAGUGGCUUCAAUGCCUCUCUUUUGUCUACGUCUACUUUUCUACAUAAAUUGCGCGCAGAAACUCCUUUCUUUUUACAUCCCGUGUAGCAAGUUUACUACGCCAAAACCGUUAUUCCUGUCAUUAUCUCUACCUCUAAUCAUUCAGUAAAAUAUACGAUGGCAUUAAGUCUAACAUUAUGUAUUAAAUUUCGCUACUGACACUACAGCACUCAUAGCCACACUUCGCGUUCAGGCAAAGACGAGACGGUGUUGAUACGUCAACGACUAAAAUAGUAAUAAUACAGUUACGAUAUUUGGCAAUUAUAAUGAUCCCACAAAAGCUUUCCAUGUAGACAAAUGAUCAACAAUAACUUGAAUAGACCCGAAAACUCAUCUCUAUUAGGAACUAUCAUACACGGUGAUAAACAAUUUAGUGAAGUUCUUGUUGUUGCUGCUGUGUAGAUUUGUCGUUUCAACGCAUUCUCCGCUUCUCCACAUCUCGUUAUCCCUGACAUCACGAAAGACCUGGAAUUCUCUCAUUCGUCAUACUGUAUUACGUUGGACUCAGCGCAGUUCUUUCCCAUUCCAAAAGAAUCGAAUAAGCCACGAUCUGGUAAAAAUCGUUAAGAUGCGUUAAGAGGAUUUACACAUCGACGGAACGGUCGAUCACUUAGUGCAACUUCCGAGAUUCGGCGCCUAUAAUUUUUACUAUAUAAAGGGAGGGAAUGAAGACAAGUUGUGUUUUAGACACG